rnacentral:rRNA from 1 species
ACUAAGCGUACACGGUGGAUGCCCUGGCAGUCAGAGGCGAUGAAGGACGUGCUAAUCUGCGAUAAGCGUCGGUAAGGUGAUAUGAACCGUUAUAACCGGCGAUUUCCGAAUGGGGAAACCCAGUGUGUUUCGACACACUAUCAUUAACUGAAUCCAUAGGUUAAUGAGGCGAACCGGGGGAACUGAAACAUCUAAGUACCCCGAGGAAAAGAAAUCAACCGAGAUUCCCCCAGUAGCGGCGAGCGAACGGGGAGGAGCCCAGAGCCUGAAUCAGUGUGUGUGUUAGUGGAAGCGUCUGGAAAGGCGCGCGAUACAGGGUGACAGCCCCGUACACAAAAAUGCACAUGCUGUGAGCUCGAUGAGUAGGGCGGGACACGUGGUAUCCUGUCUGAAUAUGGGGGGACCAUCCUCCAAGGCUAAAUACUCCUGACUGACCGAUAGUGAACCAGUACCGUGAGGGAAAGGCGAAAAGAACCCCGGCGAGGGGAGUGAAAAAGAACCUGAAACCGUGUACGUACAAGCAGUGGGAGCCUCUUAAUGGGGUGACUGCGUACCUUUUGUAUAAUGGGUCAGCGACUUAUAUUCUGUAGCAAGGUUAACCGAAUAGGGGAGCCGAAGGGAAACCGAGUCUUAACUGGGCGUUAAGUUGCAGGGUAUAGACCCGAAACCCGGUGAUCUAGCCAUGGGCAGGUUGAAGGUUGGGUAACACUAACUGGAGGACCGAACCGACUAAUGUUGAAAAAUUAGCGGAUGACUUGUGGCUGGGGGUGAAAGGCCAAUCAAACCGGGAGAUAGCUGGUUCUCCCCGAAAGCUAUUUAGGUAGCGCCUCGUGAAUUCAUCUCCGGGGGUAGAGCACUGUUUCGGCAAGGGGGUCAUCCCGACUUACCAACCCGAUGCAAACUGCGAAUACCGGAGAAUGUUAUCACGGGAGACACACGGCGGGUGCUAACGUCCGUCGUGAAGAGGGAAACAACCCAGACCGCCAGCUAAGGUCCCAAAGUCAUGGUUAAGUGGGAAACGAUGUGGGAAGGCCCAGACAGCCAGGAUGUUGGCUUAGAAGCAGCCAUCAUUUAAAGAAAGCGUAAUAGCUCACUGGUCGAGUCGGCCUGCGCGGAAGAUGUAACGGGGCUAAACCAUGCACCGAAGCUGCGGCAGCGACACUAUGUGUUGUUGGGUAGGGGAGCGUUCUGUAAGCCUGUGAAGGUGGCCUGUGAGGGUUGCUGGAGGUAUCAGAAGUGCGAAUGCUGACAUAAGUAACGAUAAAGCGGGUGAAAAGCCCGCUCGCCGGAAGACCAAGGGUUCCUGUCCAACGUUAAUCGGGGCAGGGUGAGUCGACCCCUAAGGCGAGGCCGAAAGGCGUAGUCGAUGGGAAACAGGUUAAUAUUCCUGUACUUGGUGUUACUGCGAAGGGGGGACGGAGAAGGCUAUGUUGGCCGGGCGACGGUUGUCCCGGUUUAAGCGUGUAGGCUGGUUUUCCAGGCAAAUCCGGAAAACCAAGGCUGAGGCGUGAUGACGAGGCACUACGGUGCUGAAGUGACAAAUGCCCUGCUUCCAGGAAAAGCCUCUAAGCAUCAGGUAACAUCAAAUCGUACCCCAAACCGACACAGGUGGUCAGGUAGAGAAUACCAAGGCGCUUGAGAGAACUCGGGUGAAGGAACUAGGCAAAAUGGUGCCGUAACUUCGGGAGAAGGCACGCUGAUAUGUAGGUGAAGCGACUUGCUCGUGGAGCUGAAAUCAGUCGAAGAUACCAGCUGGCUGCAACUGUUUAUUAAAAACACAGCACUGUGCAAACACGAAAGUGGACGUAUACGGUGUGACGCCUGCCCGGUGCCGGAAGGUUAAUUGAUGGGGUUAGCGGUAACGCGAAGCUCUUGAUCGAAGCCCCGGUAAACGGCGGCCGUAACUAUAACGGUCCUAAGGUAGCGAAAUUCCUUGUCGGGUAAGUUCCGACCUGCACGAAUGGCGUAAUGAUGGCCAGGCUGUCUCCACCCGAGACUCAGUGAAAUUGAACUCGCUGUGAAGAUGCAGUGUACCCGCGGCAAGACGGAAAGACCCCGUGAACCUUUACUAUAGCUUGACACUGAACAUUGAGCCUUGAUGUGUAGGAUAGGUGGGAGGCUUUGAAGUGUGGACGCCAGUCUGCAUGGAGCCGACCUUGAAAUACCACCCUUUAAUGUUUGAUGUUCUAACGUUGGCCCCUAAUCGGGGUUGCGGACAGUGUCUGGUGGGUAGUUUGACUGGGGCGGUCUCCUCCUAAAGAGUAACGGAGGAGCACGAAGGUUGGCUAAUCCUGGUCGGACAUCAGGAGGUUAGUGCAAUGGCAUAAGCCAGCUUGACUGCGAGCGUGACGGCGCGAGCAGGUGCGAAAGCAGGUCAUAGUGAUCCGGUGGUUCUGAAUGGAAGGGCCAUCGCUCAACGGAUAAAAGGUACUCCGGGGAUAACAGGCUGAUACCGCCCAAGAGUUCAUAUCGACGGCGGUGUUUGGCACCUCGAUGUCGGCUCAUCACAUCCUGGGGCUGAAGUAGGUCCCAAGGGUAUGGCUGUUCGCCAUUUAAAGUGGUACGCGAGCUGGGUUUAGAACGUCGUGAGACAGUUCGGUCCCUAUCUGCCGUGGGCGCUGGAGAACUGAGGGGGGCUGCUCCUAGUACGAGAGGACCGGAGUGGACGCAUCACUGGUGUUCGGGUUGUCAUGCCAAUGGCACUGCCCGGUAGCUAAAUGCGGAAGAGAUAAGUGCUGAAAGCAUCUAAGCACGAAACUUGCCCCGAGAUGAGUUCUCCCUGAGACUUAGAGUCUCCUGAAGGAACGUUGAAGACGACGACGUUGAUAGGCCGGGUGUGUAAGCGCAGCGAUGCGUUGAGCUAACCGGUACUAAUGAACCGUGAGGCUUAACC